rnacentral:rRNA from 1 species
UACGUAGGGUGCGAGCGUUGUCCGGAAUUAUUGGGCGUAAAGAGCUUGUAGGCGGUUUGUCGCGUCUGCUGUGAAAAUCCGGGGCUCAACCCCGGACUUGCAGUGGGUACGGGCAGACUGGAGUGUGGUAGGGGAGACUGGAAUUCCUGGUGUAGCGGUGGAAUGCGCAGAUAUCAGGAAGAACACCAAUGGCGAAAGCAGCUCUCUGGGACGGUACUGACGCUGAGACGCGAAAGCGUGGGGAGCGAACAGG